GAAUAUUAUACCUUAUAAUGUAAUAUUUUCCGGAACUAAUUAUGUUCAUCUAUAAAUACCGAAGAACGGCACUGAGUUACUAAAGCAGAUCUUUAGACUUAAUCAUUAUGCCCAUUCUCGCGUUUUUAAUUCUUUUUGUGCUUUUACCAUCGGAACGCACCAACGGAAAAUGUCCUCCAACAAGACCAAAAUGCCGUGAUUGAGGUUAAAAGAGAAGUACGAAUUGGGUCUUGCCGAUCAGUUGUAGUACAUUUCCUAUCGUUGAAUUCGGUAUGAUUAUCUAAUAAAUAUUCCACUCGCUUCAAAA